AUUGAACGCUGGCGGCAGGCCUAACACAUGCAAGUCGAACGAGCGGCGGACGGGUGAGUAAUGUCUGGGAAACUGCCUGAUGGAGGGGGAUAACUACUGGAAACGGUAGCUAAUACCGCAUACCAUCGGAUGUGCCCAGGUGGGAUUAGCUAGUAGGUGGGGUAACGGCUCACCUGGGCGACGAUCCCUGGCUGGUUUGAGAGGAUGACCAGCGACACGGGAACUGAGACACGGGCCAGACUCCUAGGGUAGUCAGGAGUGGGGAAUAUUGCAAAAUGGGAGCAAGCCUGAUGGAGCCAUGCCGCGUGUAUGAAGAGGGCCUUCGGGUUGUAAAGUACUUUCAGCGUGGAGGCGUUACCCGCAGAAGAAGCACCGGCUAACUCCGUGCCAGCAGCCGCGGUAAUUC
rnacentral:rRNA from 1 species